rnacentral:RNase_P_RNA from 2 species
UUCGGCGGAUGAUCGCGCCGGGCAGAUGGGGAGGCAGAUGCCGAUCGACCCGGAUGGCCCGGUGAGGAACUUCCUGGCACCGCUUCCGGUGAAGUCCGAGUCUGCCUCGGCAGACGCGUCAGGGCGCGUAGCCGGAAGAAAGUUGGCGCAGAGCGCAAGCUCUGGCGGCGCGAGCCGACGAUGGGGAAGGCGGUCUCGCCCAUGCGCGAGUCGCUUGUACCUGUAACGAGCUAGAGAGACGCAGGUCCCCCGGCGACGGGGGAGUGGCACGGGCAAUCUCCGCCACGGUGCAAGUCCAAGUAGGCGCCUUUGAGCGCGGGUAGGACGCAGUCCCGGGGAGGAACCUGGGACCACGGUCUGGUCGGGCCGUGAGACAAAUGAUCAUCACGCCCGCCGAAAGGCGGGCGUACAGAACCAGGGGUAUAGCC